GUAGCAAGAUCUUGAAAGAAGAGUUAUGUCUUCCUUCCGGCUUUGAACCUGAAGGAGGAGUGGCAAGAGUUUAGUUAGGCAGCAGUACUUCCUUUUCGAGUUUCAAACCGCCUUCUCGAGAGAGAGAGUUGGUCAUAGAACGAGCUCCGCUAAGCGACUAGCUGGCUUGUUUCCUAAGUUCGUAGCUCAAGUUUACCUUAGCAGCAGCAAACCUUACUUAGCUAGCGCUACCUUUAGAAAGCAAGUUAGCUACAGCUGAGCUGCCUUACUCUAACAAGUAAGCAAGUAAACUACCUUUCCUAAGCCUAAGUUUACCCGGCCUAAGCAACUACUGCAACAACAGUUCCCUACCCGGCUACGGGCUAAGCUCACUCUAACACUUCCCUGGGAA